AUGAAUUUGAUUGUUUGAAUUGGUGGAAGAAUAGCAAGCUCACAUUCCCAAUUUUAUCCAAGAUGGCAGCCGAUAUCCUUGCCAUUCCUAUUACUACAGUUGCUUCUGAGGCUACAUUUAGCGCUGGAACAAGAGUAAUUGACUCUUAUAGAGCCUCACUAGCUCCUGAAACUGUAGAAAUGCUUAUGUGUGCCGGAGAUUGGUGCCGAAACAUUCAUGGAGUGAAAAAAAAGAUAAAAAAAUUGAAGGCAGCAAAAGAGAUUCUACUUCCCAUAAAAUGAAUGUGAUAAUUGGAAAGGGCCUGCAGUUGAAAUUGGAAAGUUGGAAAGGAUUAUUGUGGAAUGGACAAGAAGUUGUUGUUUUACUGCUUUAAUUGUAAAAUUUGUUUCACUUUUUUAAGUAUGGUUAUUUCUUGACAAUUGACAUUGCCUGUUGAAGACAUUCACUUGAAUGUUGAGUUGUUGACACUUUGUCUUUGUUGUUUCUA